rnacentral:rRNA from 1 species
GGCUCCGUGUCAGGUAGAAAAUACGGAGUCGGACCUGCCCGGUGAUUAGUUUUUAACGGCCGCGGUACUCUGACCGUGCAAAGGUAGCAUAAUAACUUGCCUUAUAAUUGAAGGCUGGAAUGAAUGGUUUGACAAGAAUAAAGCUGUCUCUUUGUAGUUAACUAGAACUUUAUUUAUAGGUGAAAAAGCCUAUAUGGUAUUGAUAGACAAGAAGACCCUAUCGAGCUUUAAAAAAUUGUUAUGGAUAAUUGCAGGCAUUUUGGUUGGGGCGACAGAGGAACAGAUAAGCUUCCUUGGAAAAUGAUACAGGCGUGAUGAUCCAGAACUUCUGAUUAACGGAAUUAGUUACCGUAGGGAUAACAGCAUGAUCCCCUUUGAGAGCCCACAUCGAAAAGGGGGUUUGUGACCUCGAUGUUGGACCAGGGUAUCCUGAAGAUGCAGCAGUCUUCAAGGGUUGGUCUGUUCGACCAUUAAAACCCUACGUGAUCUGAGUUCAGACCGGCGUGAGCCAGGUCAGUUUCUAUCUUCAAUUUUCAAAGUGGUUUUAGUACGAAAGGACCAAGCCACUUCAAGGAUUUGGUUUACCAGAAAAGAUAUAAUAUAUGCUUAAUCAAAUUAGCAGAAAAUAAUGCAACUGACUUAGGAUCAGUGGAUAUGGUGAAAACCCUUAUUUGAUAAUAAAGGUGGCAGAAUA